GCCAGGUCUAAAGAGGAAACGGGCCUCGCUGGACACCCUGGGAACUGAGAGACGCGGAGAAACUACGGCGAACGGCGGCAGCAGCAGCGACAAGCGCAGGGCAGAGCCUGCGGGCUCCCGCCCCUACCCCCCACCCCACCCAGCACGUGCCCCGAAGAGCCUCUCACCUGCCUGCCGCCCCGUCUCGCUCGGGGCUCGAGAAGCGGCGGCCGGUCCCACCCUCGCGGCCGCGGCUGCACGGACCGGCGGCUGCAGGUGGUCCAGUGGUUAAGAAUCCACCUGCCAAUGGAGAGGACACAGGUUUGAUCCCUGCUCUGGGAAGAUCCGCCAUUCCUUGGGGCAACUAUGCCUGUAAACCCCAAAUGCUGAAGCGUACGCCUAGAGCUGGUGCUCCACAACAAGGGAAGCCACUGCAAUGAGAAGGUCACGCACCGCAAGGAAGAGUAGCCCCAGCUCCCCGGCACUGGCCGCAGCUAGAGAAACCCCAAGUGUAGCAAUGAAGACAGUGCAGCCAAAAAUUAAAUAAUAAGUAAAUAAUUUUUAAAAAGUCAACUGUGAAGAGAUUGUAAUGUUUAAACAUGCAUUCCAAGUUUGGGUAGGGGAGGAAAGGGAAGAAAGAAAUAAAUGAAGAGAAAAUA